UACGGAGGGAGCUAGCGUUGUUCGGAAUUACUGGGCGUAAAGCGCACGUAGGCGGCUUUGUAAGUUAGAGGUGAAAGCCCAGGGCUCAACCCUGGAAUUGCCUUUAAGACUGCAUCGCUAGAAUUGUGGAGAGGUAAGUGGAAUUCCGAGUGUAGAGGUGAAAUUCGUAGAUAUUCGGAAGAACACCAGUGGGGAGGGCGACUUGCGGGACACAUAUUGACGCUGAGGUGCGAAAGCGUGGGGAGCAAACAGG
rnacentral:rRNA from 1 species